rnacentral:rRNA from 1 species
GAUGAACGCUGGCGGCGUGCCUAAUACAUGCAAGUCGAGCGAAUGGAUUAAGAGCUUGCUCUUAUGAAGUUAGCGGCGGACGGGUGAGUAACACGUGGGUGACCUGCCCAUAAGACUAGGAUAACUCCGGGAAACCGGGGCUAAUACCGGAUAACAUUUUGAACCGCAUGGUUCGAAAUUGAAAGGCGGCUUCGGCUGUCACUUAUGGAUGGACCCGCGUCGCAUUAGCUAGUUGGUGAGGUAACGGCUCACCAAGGCAACGAUGCGUAGCCGACCUGAGAGGGUGAUCGGCCACACUGGGACUGAGACACGGCCCAGACUCCUACGGGAGGCAGCAGUAGGGAAUCUUCCGCAAUGGACGAAAGUUUGACGGAGCAACGCCGCGUGAGUGAUGAAGGCUUUCGGGUCGUAAAACUCUGUUGUUAGGGAAGAACAAGUGCUAGUUGAAUAAGCUGACACCUUGACGGUACCUAACCAGAAAGCCACGGCUAACUACGUGCCAGCCGCCGCUGUAA